UACGUAGGGUGCAAGCGUUGUCCGGAAUUAUUGGGCGUAAAGGGCUCGUAGGCGGUUUGUUGCGUCAGGAGUGAAAACCCAGGGCUUAACCCUGGGCCUGCAGUGGGUACGGGCAAACUAGAGUGCGGUAGGGGAGAUCGGAAUUCCUGGUGUAGCGGUGAAAUGCGCAGAUAUCAGGAGGAACACCGGUGGCGAAGGCGGAUCUCUGGGCCGUAACUGACGCUGAGGAGCGAAAGCAUGGGUAGCGAACAGG
rnacentral:rRNA from 1 species